AACGGAAGCUAUGGAGUCAACCAUAUAUACAAAUUGCAAGUAUAUUUUGUCUGUAGGAGACAAAAUGGAGGUCUCAGAAAAAUGGAGGUCUACAGAAAAAUGGAGGUCUCUGGCAGCAUAGCUGGCAAGUCUGAUUAUUUCCCUCCACACAAC
rnacentral:scRNA from 1 species